rnacentral:rRNA from 1 species
UACGUAGGGUGCAAGCGUUAAUCGGAGUUACUGGGCGUAAAGCGCACGUAGGCGGCUUUGUAAGUUAGAGGUGAAAGCCCAGGGCUCAACCCUGGAAUUGCCUUUAAGACUGCAUCGCUAGAAUUGUGGAGAGGUAAGUGGAAUUCCGAGUGUAGAGGUGAAAUUCGUAGAUAUUCGGAAGAACACCAGUGGCGAAGGCGACUUACUGGACACAUAUUGACGCUGAGGUGCGAAAGCGUGGGGAGCAAACAGG